GACGAACGCUGGCGGCGUGCCUAAUACAUGCAAGUUGAGCGCUGAAGGUUGGUACUUGUACCAACUGGAUGAGCAGCGAACGGGUGAGUAACGCGUGGGGAAUCUGCCUUUGAGCAGGGGACAACAUUUGGAAACGAAUGCUAAUACCGCAUAAAAACUUUAAACACAAGUUUUAAGUUUGAAAGAUGCAAUUGCAUCACUCAAAGAUGAUCCCGCGUUGUAUUAGCUAGUUGGUGAGGUAAAGGCUCACCAAGGCGAUGAUACAUAGCCGACCUGAGAGGGUGAUCGGCCACAUUGGGACUGAGACACGGCCCAAACCCCUACGGGAGGCAGCAGUAGGGAAUCUUCGGCAAUGGACGAAAGUCUGACCGAGCAACGCCGCGUGAGUGAAGAAGGUUUUCGGAUCGUAAAACUCUGUUGGUAGAGAAGAACGUUGGUGAGAGUGGAAAGCUCACCAAGUGACGGUAACUACCCAGAAAGGGACGGCUAACUACGUG
rnacentral:rRNA from 1 species